CAGCGGGCCUGGCCCUCGGCAACAUCAGCUCCGCUCCGCAUGGCUCACGGAGUGCGACCCUCCAAGGCCACUCCGCGGCCAUGUGGCUGGGGCCGCAGGGCGCCCAAACCCGGCGCACGUUCAAGAGGUGAAACCAGAGGAGAGGAGGUGCGGGAGGAAAUCCAAAGAAUGGGAUGUCGGGGUACAAGACUCACUUCCUCUGGGCUUUGUCCUUCUUGGCCUUGGUCCUUUUCUUUCGGGCCUGGAGCGCAAGCACUGCAGGAGAGAGGGAUGGAUGAAGGGCGAAUGUGGAGUAAAGGAGGCGACCAAGGAGGCAUCAGAGAACCAGAGAGGGAGUCUGCUUUCAACUUCGUUAUGCUGUUCCAAUCCUGAUCAACCCCAGAGGUGACAUCAGAAGCCGGUUUCCUCUCACGAGGUGAGCUGAUGUUAAUUUGUGUAAUGAUUGUCAUUUUAAAAAGCUGUCGUUGGCGGGAUUCGUGGUAAUCGAUUACCCUGAACCCUUGGUCGAAGCCAUCUUCUGACUAGGAUGGUCGCAAACCACCCCUGGCAGAGGAAUUGCAGAUUACAGUACAAGCUGCCCCUGGGGGUAACUAUGAGUAGUGCCUACAAAUGUCAUUCUGUCUUUGCCAAAAGUUUUAAUAUGCCCCAAGUAUUUUCUUUUGAAAGGGUGGGUUCAUUUCUUGAAAAAUGCCAAUUAAAGAAAAAGAAAGAAACAUGGGAGUCCAACACCAGGGGAACAAUUCAGAAAGUUUUACAGCACUUCCUCUCCAGGAUGUAUGCCGAAAUCUUUUAAGGGAAAUUAUAAACAUCGUGAGGUGGAGUGCCCCCAGGAGGGUGCCAGGCCAGGCGAAGAUGCUCUGCUAUUCUAAAUACGUUCCAGGGGCCAUGCAGACUUGGACAAUAAAAAUAAUGGACUGAAGAUCGGAAGUACUUUCCGCCACGCUCACCCUUCGUGACGAAUUUACUGAGCGCCCGCCCGCAGGCCAGGGCCGUGAGAAGCAGAGAAGGAAAACACCAACUCCUUGCCCUAUAGGACUUAAUAGCUAACUCAUAGACACUGUUGUCGCUCAGCUGUCAAACAACACUACCAAAUGGGUGCUAUUAUCAGCAUCUCUGGCGGAUGAAGAAACUGAGGCAUAACCAAGGCCGCCCAGAGCGCCCAGGUGGCUCAGCGUUUAAGCAUCUGACUUCUGCU